AUGAAAACAUCUAAAACGACGCGAUGACCGUUGCUCCUGUUUAACUACGGUUACUACCAAAGAAAAAUAUCGAUUGUUCGAUAUUAAUUAAUCGACCAAUUGUAUCGAAAUUAAGUUGCGAUUUGCGAUCUCUAGUCCUGUGACUCCUGUCUCCUGUGUGUGCUGUGUUUCCGCGUUUCGUCCGCUGUUUUUCUCAGGAUAACCUCAAAGCCUUAAAAACACUUAAAACAUGGGCGAUUCCGAACAGGAUCCGGGUGAUCGAAUUGAUGGUGACAAUCAGAAGAACGAUAAGAUGUUUACCUUAAAGAAAUGGAACGCCGUGGCAAUGUGGAGCUGGGACGUAGAGUGUGACACCUGUGCUAUUUGCAGAGUUCAGGUUAUGGAUGCCUGUUUACGAUGUCAGGCGGAAAGUAAGAAGGAAGUUUAUGGCCGACAAGACUGCGUGGUCGUUUGGGGCGAGUGCAAUCAUUCGUUCCAUUAUUGCUGCAUGUCACUUUGGGUUAAACAAAACAAUCGUUGCCCACUGUGCCAGCAAGAAUGGUCUAUUCAACGAAUGGGGAAGUAAUUCAUUGUCUGGGCCGAGUCUUGAAUCUAUUUCUUUUUUGAUAAUUACUUUGCGUAAGACUAAUAAGUGGCGCCAAUGGGACCAGUCAGAACGCGAAGGUCAUUUCGGUCAAGCAGGGGCUCGUCACGUUCGACCAAUCAGCAAUCGCCGCCGUGGAACGCCUUCUAGUCAAGAAUGUGCUGACUCGCAUGGUAACAGCGAAUCGCACGUGACUACCUUACGAAAGUAUAACCUCGUCAACAAUUUGUGUGUCUGGCGCCUCUCAUUAAGGGAAUCAAGAUACUAGGACUUUGAGCCUGCCUAAGGAAUGGAUGUUGUAAUAAUUCAGCUGCCGUGGCUCGUUGCGCUGGAUCACGCACAAGCAUUCGUUCAAGGAAACCUUGAAGACGUGGACUAACCUGAAAGUGAGGAAAAUAUACUGCUCAUUUUUUAAAAUUUGGAACAUACAGUUGUAUAUUGAUAAAUCUGAUAUUUUUAUAUUAAACAAUAUAAAUGUAAAAUAAUUUAAAAAA